AAACUUUUAGCAACGGAUCUCUAGGCUCUCGCAGCGAUGAAGAACGCAGCGAAUUGCGAAAUGUAUUGUGAAUUGCAUUUACCGCGAAUCAUUAAAUCUUUGAAUGCACUUUGCACUGCUGUGAAUUCACGGCAGUACGCCUGUUUGAGCAUCAA
rnacentral:rRNA from 1 species